rnacentral:rRNA from 1 species
AUUCCAGCUCCAAUAGCGUAUAUUAAAGUUGUUGCGGUUAAAAAGCUCGUAGUUGGAUUUCUGUCAAGGACAGCUGGUCCGUGCUUUGCAUGAGAAUCGGCGUGGCCUUGGCAUCCUCUUGGGGAGCACGUGCGCUUCAUUGCGUGCGUGAGACACAAGACUUUUACUUUGAGGAAAUUAGAGUGUUCACGGCAGGCAUCCGCCCUGAAUACAUUAGCAUGGAAUAAUACUAUAGGACCCGAGUUCUAUUUUGUUGGUUCCUAGAGCUUGGGUAAUGGUUAAUAGGGACAGUUGGGGGCAUUCGUAUUAACACGUCAGAGGUGGAAUUCUUGGAUUGUGUUACGACGAACUAGUGCGAAAGCAUUUGCCAAGGAUGUUUUCAUUG